rnacentral:rRNA from 1 species
GGCUACCAUGCAGUCGAGGGGCAGCAUUUCAGUUUGCUUGCAAACUGGAGAUGGCGACCCNUUNACGGGCUGAGUAACACGCUAUCCAACCUGCCGAUAACUCGGNGAUAGCCUUUCGAAAGAAAGAUUAAUACCCGAUGGNAUAAUCAGACCGCANGGUCUNAUUAUUAAAGAAUUUCGGUUAUCGAUGGGGAUGCGUUCCAUUAGGCAGUUGGUGAGGUAACGGCUCACCAAACCUUCGAUGGAUAGGGGUUCUGAGAGGAAGGUCCCCCACAUUGGAACUGAGACACGGUCCAAACUCAUACGGGAGGCAGCAGUGAGGAAUAUUGGUCAAUGGGCGCAGGCCUGAACCAGCCAAGUAGCGUGAAGGAUGACUGCCCUAUGGGUUGUAAACUUCUUUUAUAUGGGAAUAAAGUUUUCCACGUGUGGAAUUUUGUAUGUACCAUAUGAAUAAGGAUCGGCUAACUCCGUGCCAGCAGCCGCGGUAAUACGGAGGAUCCGAGCGUUAUCCGGAUUUAUUGGGUUUAAAGGGAGCGUAGGUGGACAGUUAAGUCAGUUGUGAAAGUUUGCGGCUCAACCGUAAAAUUGCAGUUGAUACUGGCUGUCUUGAGUACAGUAGAGGUGGGCGGAAUUCGUGGUGUAGCGGUGAAAUGCUUAGAUAUCACGAAGAACUCCGAUUGCGAAGGCAGCUCACUGGACUGCAACUGACACUGAUGCUCGAAAGUGUGGGUAUCAAACAGGAUUAGAUACCCUGGUAGUCCACACAGUAAACGAUGAAUACUCGCUGUUUGCGAUAUACAGUAAGCGGCCAAGCGAAAGCAUUAAGUAUUCCACCUGGGGAGUACGCCGGCAACGGUGAAACUCAAAGGAAUUGACGGGGGCCCGCACAAGCGGAGGAACAUGUGGUUUAAUUCGAUGAUACGCGAGGAACCUUACCCGGGCUUAAAUUGCAUUUGAAUANUNUGGAAACAGNNUAGCCGCAAGGCAAAUGUGAAGGUGCUGCAUGGUUGUCGUCAGCUCGUGCCGUGAGGUGUCGGCUUAAGUGCCAUAACGAGCGCAACCCUUAUCUUUAGUUACUAACAGGUCAUGCUGAGGACUCUAGAGAGACUGCCGUCGUAAGAUGUGAGGAAGGUGGGGAUGACGUCAAAUCAGCACGGCCCUUACGUCCGGGGCUACACACGUGUUACAAUGGGGGGUACAGAAGGCAGCUACCUGGUGACAGGAUGCUAAUCCCAAAAGCCUCUCUCAGUUCGGAUCGAAGUCUGCAACCCGACUUCGUGAAGCUGGAUUCGCUAGUAAUCGCGCAUCAGCCAUGGCGCGGUGAAUACGUUCCCGGGCCUUGUACACACCGCCCGUCAAGCCAUGAAAGCCGGGGGUACCUGAAGUACGUACCGCAAGAGCUCCUAGG